rnacentral:rRNA from 1 species
UACGGAGGGUGCAAGCGUUAUCCGGAUUCACUGGGUUUAAAGGGUGCGUAGGUGGGGAGGUAAGUCAGCGGUGAAAUCCCCGAGCUUAACUUGGGAACUGCCAUUGAUACUAUCUCUCUUGAAUACCUUGGAGGUGAGCGGAAUAUGUCAUGUAGCGGUGAAAUGCUUAGAUAUGACAUAGAACACCAAUUGCGAAGGCAGCUCACUACACGGUCAUUGACACUGAGGCACGAAAGCGUGGGGAUCAAA